rnacentral:lncRNA from 1 species
UAGAUGACAAGGUUCUAGUGGCUACAAUUUGCCAACCCAGCUUAUUAUUGAACCUUCAGAGCCAUCUUACUAAUGCUGCUGCUUGUGAGUUGGACUGUGUGUUGUUCCUGCUGCAAGAUUUUCAACGGGUGGACCGGCCAGACGAGCGGUCCCUCACACAUGGGUUGUCAUUCUCAGCCAAGAACGCAUACUCUUCCAUUGUUUCUGAUGACUCCUUUGACCCACAUCAUGAUUUUGUUUGGGCUUCUAAGGUCCCGAUCAAAGUCAAGAUCUUCGCAUGGCUUCUACUUCGUGACCGGCUAAAUACAAAGGCCAACAUGUUUCAUAAACAUGUUGCUCAAUCCGCAGCUUGCCCAAGCUGUCAAGACCCAUUCGAGGAUGCUCUUCACCUCAUCUCCACCUGCUCCUAUGCAACACAAGUCUGGACUAGCCUGGGACUGUCUGCCCCAGCCUCCCUCACUGCUCUUCACCAACACCCGCUGAUUCAGGGUCUCAAGCCCAACAUCUGGCCAUCGAUGGCCUUGACCGUUUCUUGGAAACUCUGGGACUCGAGAAAUGCUCUUGUUUUCAGGAAUGAAGAUCACUCUCUCAAAACAACGCUAAGAAAUAUUGUAGCAGUCUUCUCUCUCUGGGUUUUCCAUUUCAAAAAACAUGACGACAGUAACUAUGCUAGGCAGUGGCUACAUUUUCUCUCCUCUGCAAUCCCUUCUAGCUGAAAUUGUAACAAUACUAUGUUGUAUUUCUCCGACCUCUUUUGAGUGGUAAUAUAUUCAGGUGGGGAAGCUCUCCCCCCGGUGACCGUUCAAAAAAAAUUAAGCUCUCUAAUGAGUCGUGCAGCUUGAGCACUGCCAUUUGUGUGUGAGGUUGUUGUCCUCAUUCAUGAGGACAUUGAGGUAAGAUACAAAGCUUGCCAAACUAGCUGCCAUUAACACAAAAGUUAGGCAUCACUAGUAGAAAAAGGGUCAAACGUGAAGCACAUUAGUGCCGGUUUGAAUUUGAGCCGGCACUAAUGUGUACAUUAGUGCCGGUUCCAACGGCUAGCCGGGCCGCUCUCAUUAGUACCGGUUCAUGGCGAACCUUUAGACCGGUUCGUGCCACGAACCGGUACUAAAGUGAGUGGUGGCAGGAUGUUGUCAGUCCGGGGCCCCUCCAGCACCUUUAGUACCGGGUCGUAUCACGAACCGGUACUAAAGGUCGUCCUACAUAGACCCUUCGUCCACCCGAGCUCGCUCUGUUCUUCCCAUUUCCCCUCUCCUCUCUGUUCUUUUCCCUCUUCCUCUCAAGCUCAUCACACAUUUUGCCCAAGAUUUGAAGGCCCCCAUCCAUUCAAAUGAUCACAAAGGUUAGCAACUCUUUCCUUUCAUCUCUCAUUGCUAGAUUAGCUCGUGCAAUGCUUUAUAUAGUGAUUGAUUUUUGAGUUUAGUAAUUUGGGAGGAAUUAUAUAUAUGUGCUAGUAUUUGAUUUAUAUGCAAUAUGAGGUCAAAAAUAACACUUAGUUUUGCAUAUGUAGGUGUGGUUUACUUAGUACCUUCUAAAUCUCCGUCGUAACCACCGUCGAUCGCUCGCAACGUCCCGUCGCCGGCACCACCUUGUGGUGAGCCUCUUGUUCAUGAAGUUUUAUAUAAAUAAUUGAUGUUUGUGUGAUUUGGAUAUAUAGUUACUCGUAUAAUUAUCUUACCCAUACGUUGUUUGUUAUGCAUAGUGCCAUGGUUUUCAUAUCCGUCCCCGUCGGCCCUCGUACGAGUUAUGAUUCGGAUGUGGUAUAUUCUCUUUUAAAACUAUUCAUUGCAUUUCGUGUUUACGAAAAAUUAUGCCCAUCAAGUUGACAUAGAUAUUUCUAUGUAGGAGGUAGUUGAACCCGAAGUUCCAACUGACUCUAUUGUCGAGAGGUUAAAUUUAGUUGAAAGAGAAAAUGAGGAUUUGAAGAAAAAAUUGAAAAGAAUUGAGGGGGAGAAGAUGGAAUUGGAGUUGCGUGUUGCCGAUGUCGUCGUUGAUCACAAGAUUAAGAUGGAGAAAAUGCGCUUGAAGAUUAGAAAGAUUAGAAAAUAUGCCAUUCAUAGUGAGGCUUGGUAUCAUUAUGUUGUUGGAUCAAUUGUUACCUUUGUUGCGAUCUUGAUCGCAUUUGUUGUUGCAUUUAAAUUCUUUAGCUAGAGAGUUAUUUGUUUGUUGCAUUGAAGUGUUGUAUGCUCUUUAUGUAUGAACUUUAUGUAUUGUAUUAAUUUGAUGUUUUCGGUGCUGUGUAUUGAAGAUGAGCCGGCAAUGGAUGUACAAUGACCGAUGCUCUACCGAGUUCAUUAAUGGCGUGCGUACUUUUCUGCUUGCGGCUAAGGCAAACAAGCGAGCGGAUGGUUUUAUGCAUUGUCCAUGUGCUAACUGUAAGAAUGGUCGCAAUUACUCUACAUCAAGAACCAUUCACGUCCACCUGUUUGAGUCCGGUUUCAUGCCCCACUAUAAUGUUUGGACCAAGCAUGGAGAAAGAGGGGUUAUGAUGGAAGACAAUGAAGAAGAAGAGGAUGACGACAGCUAUCCUGGCCAUGGGUUCCCUGAAUACGAUGAUACAACAAUGAGGGAAGAAGCUGAGCCGGUAAUGCGGGAAGAAGUUGAGCCGGCAAUGCGGGAAGAAGCUGAAGAAGAGGCAUCGGAUGAGCCCGUUGAUGAUCUAGGUCGGGCCAUUGCCGAUGCAAAGAGAAACUGUGCAAGUGAUUUGGAGAACAAGAAGUUGCAGCGCAUGUUAGAGGAUCACAAAAAAUUGUUGUACCCGAAUUGCGAAGGUGACAAGAAAAAGCUGGGCACCACAUUGGAAUUGCUGCAAUGGAAGGCAGAGAAUGGUGUAUCUGACAAGGGAUUUGGAAAGUUGCUGGUAAUGAUAAAGGAUAUGCUUCCAAAGGACAACGAAUUGCCCGAGAGUAUGUACCAAGCAAAGAAGGAUGUCUGCCCUCUAGGGUUAGAUGUGCAGAAGAUACAUGCAUGCCCUAAUGAUUGCAUCCUCUACCGCCGUGAGUACGAGGAUUUGAACGCUUGCCCGGUAUGCGGUGCAUUGCGCUAUAAGAUCAGCCGCGAUGACCCUGGUGAUGUCGAGGGCGAGCGCCCCAGGAAGAAGAUUCCUGCCAAGGUGAUGUGGUAUGCUCCUAUAAUACCACGGUUGAAACGUUUGUUCCAAAACAAAGAGCAUGCCAAGGCGAUCCGAUGGCACAGAGAAGACUGUAAGAAAGACGGAAAGUUGAGAGUGCCCGCUGAUGGGUCGCAGUGGAGAAAAAUCGAAAGAAAGUAUGGGAAGGAGUUUGCAGAUGACGCAAGGAACGUAUGGUUUGGUCUAAGCGCAGAUGGCAUUAAUCCUUUUGGGGAGCAGAGCAGCAACCAUAGCACCUGGCCUGUGACUCUAUGUUUGUAUAACCUUCCUCCUUGGUUGUGCAUGAAGCGGAAGUUCAUUAUGAUGCCAGUGCUCAUCCAAGGCCCUAAGCAACCCGGCAAUGACAUUGAUGUGUACCUAAGGCCAUUAGUUGAAGAACUCUUACAACUGUGGAAUGGAACAGGUGUACGUGCGUGGGAUGAGCACAUGGGGGAAGAAUUUGACCUAAAGGUGUUGAUGUUCGUGACCAUCAAUGAUUGGCCUGCUUUCAGUAACCUUUCAGGACAGACAAACAAGGGAUACCGCGCAUGCACGCACUGUUUGGACAAUACCGACAGUAUAUAUUUGGCGAAUUGUAAGAAGAAUGUGUACCUGGGACAUCGUCGAUUUCUUCCGAGCAGGCAUCCCGUAAGAAAGAAAGGCAAGCAUUUCAAAGGUGAGGUGGAUCACCGGACGAAGCCUCGCCACCGUACUGGUGCUGAUGUACAUGAUAUGGUCAAGGAUUUGAAGGUGGUCUUUGGAAAGGGUCCUGGUGGACAACCUGUUCCGAAUGACGCUGACGGACGCGCACCCAUGUGGAAGAAGAAAUCUAUAUUUUGGGACCUGCCCUAUUGGAAUGACCUAGAGGUCCGCUCCGCAAUCGACGUGAUGCAUGUGACGAAGAAUCUUUGUGUGACCCUGCUUGGCUUCUUGGGCAUGUAUGGGAAGACAAAAGAUACACCUGAGGCACGGGAGGACCAGCAACGUAUGCACGGAAAAGACGGCAUACAUCAAGGUCAUGCAAGCUAGGCUCUUACCAAAGAAGAGAAGGAAAUCUUCUUUGAAUGCCUGCUUAGUAUUAAGGUACCGUCUGGCUUCUCGUCGAAUAUAAAGGGAAUAAUAAACAUGGCAGAGAAAAAGUUCCAGAACCUAAAGUCUCAUGACUGCCACGUGAUUAUGACGCAACUGCUUCCGGUUGCAUUGAGGGGGCUUCUACCGAAAAACGUUCGAUUAGCCAUUGUGAAGCUAUGUGCAUUUCUCAAUGCAAUCUCUCAGAAGGUAAUCGGUCCAGAAAUCAUACAAGGUUAGAGAAUGAUUUGGUGCAAUGUCUUGUCAGUUUCGAGUUGGUGUUCCCACCAUCCUUCUUCAACAUCAUGACGAACGUCCUAGUUCACCUAUGUGAAAAGAUUAACGUUUUGGGUCCUGUAUUUCUACACAAUAUGUUCCCCUUUGAGAGGUUCAUGGGAGUCUUAAAGAAAUAUGUUCAUAACCGUGCUAGGCCAGAAGGAAGCAUCUCCAAGGGCCAUGAAAAUGAGGAGGUCAUUGAGUUUUGUAUUGACUUUAUUCCUGACCUUAAGCCGAUUGGUGUUCCUGAAUCGUGGCAUAAGGGCAGACUGGAUGGAAAAGGCACGCUAGGAGGGGAACAAAUAAUAUGUAUGGACGGACAUUCUCUCACUGAAGCACACUACACAGUUCUACAAAAUUCCGCCUUGGUGGCUCCGUAUAUGGAUGAACACAAGAAUUUGCUACGCUCCAAACACCCGGAGCGGUCUGAUGACUGGAUUACACGUGAACAAACCAGGAGUUUUGCCAGCUGGUUGCAGACACGUACCAUGCAUGACACCUCUAUUGAAGAUGACCUGUACUUGCUGUCCCAGUUACCAUCUUCGAAUAUAAUGACUUUCAAAGGGUACGAGAUAAAUGGUAAUACAUUUUACACGAUCGCCCAAGAUAAGAAGAGCACCAACCAAAAUAGUGGUGUCCGCUUUGAUGCAGAAACCAAGACAGGAAAGGAAACAUAUUAUGGUUAUAUACAGGACAUAUGGGAACUUGACUAUCGACGUGGUUUGAAGGUCCCUUUGUUUCGGUGCAAAUGGGUCAAUAUGACACGAGGCGGGGUAACGGAAGACCCGCAGUACGGAAUGACAACAGUGGAUCUCAACAAUCUUGCGUAUGCAGACGAACCAUUCGUCCUAGCCAAUGAUGUGGCACAGAUUUUCUAUGUGAAGGACAUGUCUACCAAGGCAAGAAAAAGAAAAGAUAAGGAAGGGAAUGCAUCAUACGAUGAGCCAAAGCGGCACAUAGUUCUUUCUGGGAAGAGAAACAUCGUGGGAGUGGAUGACAAGACAGACAUGUCAGAAGAUUAUGAAAAGUUUGAUGAAAUUGCUCCAUUCACAGUGAAUAUUGACCCGAGCAUCCCGCUAAAUGAUGAAGAUUUUCCAUGGUUACGGCACAAAGGGACACACGCGAAGAAAAAGUUUCACACCCAAAGAUCUGGGAUGUGAUCAGCUUCACUAUAAUCACUCUCUUCUGUGUUUCACACCCAGGAGGGAAUCUCUGUAAUAGUUAGGGUAGUUAUGUGUUUUGGCAUUUGAAACGUGAAGAAAUUUUAUGUGCAAACAAAUUCUUUCAUGCCUUUACUGAUUUUUUAAGCUAAAUGACCCUGAAAUUGAAAAGCAUUUCAAAUGAACUCAGAAAAGGUUGAAAGUUGGCAUGGUAUCAUAAUUUCACCCACAUAGCAUGUGCAAAAAAGUAGAGAGGGUUACCGCAAAAACUGGAUGCACUUCGUGUACUAAAUGGACAAUCUCUUUCGAAGUAUCAGGGUUUCGGACAAAAACUCAUCCGUUACAAAAGGCAUUUCAUUUUUUUAAAUAACCUAAGCAUUACCAAAUUGAAUAUAAUGAUAAAACACACUAAUAUUAAACAUAAGAAAAAAGAAUCACUGAAAAAUCUAUUCUCAAAGUUAAGUUAUUCACAAACUAGUGAUUCACACAAAUUUCAAAUAAAUCAAAAUUUAAACUAUUCAAAUUUGUAAACUACCGGUACUAACAGAAAGUUUGUAAUUUUUUGUACCUAAAGCAAAAAUAUUCACAAAGAAACUCUAAAUACAGCAAAAAAACAACUCAAACAAAAAUAAAUAGAGCAAAAGAAAUAAGAAAAAAAAGCCCACCUACUGCGCCACAGCGGCCUGCAUACGACUAGAAACCCAACCUGUUGUUGGGCCAGGAUGCAGGCCCGCAAAGGCCCAGUAGGCCCACAGGGCAGCACAGAACAUUUAGGCCCAGUAGGCCUGCUUUGGAGAGGAGCUCGAGGGAGCUACCGCACUGGGGCUUAUAAACCAGUGCGGACGCCCCUCGGCUAGCGAAGUGGGACUAAACAUUUCGCACCGCACCUGCGCCAGCGCACCCCCUUUAGUGCCGGGUGGUAGCACCAACCGGUACUAAAGGUGGGGCCUUUAGUACCGGUUGGAGCCACCACCCGGCACUAAAGGGGGUGCGGUCCCCGCCGCUUGGCCUGGCCAAAACAGGCCUUUAGUANNNNNNNNNNNNNNNNNNNNNNNNNNNNNNNNNNNNNNNNNNNNNNNNNNNNNNNNNNNNNNNNNNNNNNNNNNNNNNNNNNNNNNNNNNNNNNNNNNNNNNNNNNNNNNNNNNNNNNNNNNNNNNNNNNNNNNNNNNNNNNNNNNNNNNNNNNNNNNNNNNNNNNNNNNNNNNNNNNNNNNNNNNNNNNNNNNNNNNNNNNNNNNNNNNNNNNNNNNNNNNNNNNNNNNNNNNNNNNNNNNNNNNNNNNNNNNNNNNNNNNNNNNNNNNNNNNNNNNNNNNNNNNNNNNNNNNNNNNNNNNNNNNNNNNNNNNNNNNNNNNNNNNNNNNNNNNNNNNNNNNNNNNNNNNNNNNNNNNNNNNNNNNNNNNNNNNNNNNNNNNNNNNNNNNNNNNNNNNNNNNNNNNNNNNNNNNNNNNNNNNNNNNNNNNNNNNNNNNNNNNNNNNNNNNNNNNNNNNNNNNNNNNNNNNNNNNNNNNNNNNNNNNNNNNNNNNNNNNNNNNNGUCAUCGCCGCCUCGUCCCCAUUGUUGCCGCCCCAGCCCGUCCCCGUCGUCGCCGCCCCAUCCCUGUCCCCAUUGUCGCCAUCCCCGUCGUCGCCGCGCCUGUCGCCGUCCACGUCGCCACCCCCCGUCGCCUCUCGCCUCGCCGGUGAGCACACACACACACACACAUAGUUAGUUAUGGAAAUGUUAGAAAUGUUAGAAUUGUUAGAAAUUUUUCUAUUUUUUAGUUGUAGAAAUAGUUAUAAAAUAGUUAGAAUUGUUAGAAAUUUUUCUCUUUUUUAGUUAUAGAAAUAUUAGAAAUGUUAUAGAAAUGUUAGUUAUAUAGUAUUGUUAGAAAUGUUAUAGGAAUGUUAGUUAUAUAGAAAUGUUAGAAAUUUUAGUUAUCAAAAUCCAAUCAUUAAAAAAAUGUUACUUUUUGCGGGCAUAUAGCUAGUAUUUGUUCUGGACGAUGCCUGGCCUGCAUCCUCACCGUCGACCCGUCCGCGAUGACGUCCGGCUGACCCAUGUCCGGGACUGGGCUCCGCCGGGCUGGCACUGGGAGGUGCUGCCUGGAGGGGCACGCCACUUGAUGAGGAACCCGGCCCCGGGUCUCGUCGUCGACCCUGAUCUUGUUUGGUGGCGUUCGCGUGGGCUAGUUUCGGUGCGGAGGGAGCCAGCCCCGCCGGAGGAGGUACGUCGCCGUGUCAGGGAGGAGGACGAGCACGUCCAUCGCUACAUGGUUGCGUUAGAGGGCGGCAGGUUCUCCAAUACCUGGCAGUUCUUCAGGGAUCUCACUUCAGCUAUGAUCCUGUGAGGGUUCCUUCUCUUUGGGUGUCCACCGCCCGCGCCGAAGGAACUGCGAGUGUCCUAGAUUCUUCUGUAGUAUUCGAUCUUUAUUAGCUACCUAGCCAGUGAUGUACUCGAUAUAUAAUAUUAGAGACGAUGUAUUCGAGAUUAUAUAUUAUUCGAGACGAUCUAUUCGAGAUUAUAUCUAUUAUUCGAGACGAUGUAUUCGAGAUUAUAUCUAUUAUUUGAGACGAUGUAUUCGAGAUUAUAUCUAUUAUUCGAGACGACAUAUUCGAGAUUAUAUUCGAUGAUGCUUAUUAUGUACUAUGAUUGAUUCAGUUUUUCCUUAUUAAUGGAUUGCAUCCAUGCAUUGUAAUUUGAAUAUUUUUUUUGGAUUAGUUAAACAAAACCUAUGGCGGACAAUACCGGCAGAGAGGGAGAAGAGGCCCUGUUCAAUAUCAUACGCAAUCCUCGCGGGCCAGAUGAUGAUCAGAAUGAAGAAGAUUAUGACGGCUCCGAAUAUCUAAACAACACCGGGGAGGGUGAUAUGAUAUUCGAUCGCGACGACCGAAUUGAUGAAGCCGUGAACUAUGAAUAUGACGAAGAAAAUGUUGAUCUUGAAACAACAAAGACCAACAAGGUAUAUAUAUUUAUAUAAGCAGGCAUCUGGUGAUCAUCACAUGUUUUAAAUGACUUGAAGAUAUAUUAACAAAUCGAUCUUUCUUCUUUCAGCCAUCCGAAUCGAGCAAAUCUUCAGGCAACAGGACGAAAUGAGGCCCGAACAAAAAGUUGAAGGAGGGCGUAAAGUACAAUAUCGAGGCAAUCAAACCUAAUGGCGAACCAUUCGCGCCUAAGAAGAUUGCAGACAAGUUCGUUCGUCAAUGCGGAGUUCUUGUGAAGGACCUACUCUCGAUCUCCCUUCAAGAAUGGAGAGAGCCAUCAAAGCCACGUCCAGGAGUUACUUUUGUCGACGACAGACAAAAACAUUUGCUUUGGGAAACGCUCAUGGAACAUUUCACCCUACCAGAUCAUUUCACAAAAGUAGAUGUGGACAAAGUCAAGGACCAUGCUCUUAGGAAGAUGGCGGUUGCAUUCAAGAACCACAAGAUUCGUGAAUGGGCCAAGUACGUCAAUGGAGGAAGGAAGACUCCAGUAUUCGAGGGAGUACUAGAGAAGCAAAGUGCUCAUUGGGACGAUUUCGUGAAAUUCAAGGAUUCGGAAUUAUCUAAGGAACGGUCGAGAAUAAACAAGGCCAAUGCCGCAAAAAAGGAUAAGUUCCAUAAGCUGGGGCCAGGUGGCUAUGCGGUGGGAUUGCCUAAGUGGGAUAAGUCUAAGAAAGAGAUGCUGGAUGCAGGUGUCACUCCAGAAACAUUGAGCUGGCCCCCCAGGUGCAGGACUUGGUUCUAUGCGCAUGAGGGGAGUUGGACCUGAAGACAGGCAAAGUUUCCAAGAAGGCAUGUCUGGACGGAGCCGAAGAUAAGCUACUUGUUGCAAUAGAAGAGGCUCGAUCCGGGUUGUUUGAGCCCAACAGAGAGAACGACGAGCUUACGCGUGCCCUGGGAAAUCCUGAACACCCGGGAAGAACACGAGGCAUGGGCGCUAUUCCAUGGUAUGAGGGGUUUUCGGACUGGAACGCCGACUACAGAACCCGUGCGAGAAAGAAGAUUGCGGAGGAGAAGAAGAGGAAGAUGGAGGAGGAGCAGAGGAAGCUAGACUAUGAACGCCUUCAAGGCCUAGAAUCAGCGCACGCGGACUUGGCAAUCAAAUUCCAGCGGCAGCAGGAGCAGAUCGACUCACUUAGCCAGCAAAGGGGAUCUCAGCAGCUACCGGAUGAUCCACCAAUGGAUAGCACCGUCCCAUCCAUGCCGAGAAGCAGCGUGGGUUCCGCCCCGGGUGACGCAUUACUGGAUAGCUACCCAGUGGAUGACAUCAUGGAGAACACUAACUGCGAGCUAAACUUCAAAAUGAAGAACAUAUCCAUGAAGGUGGCGGACGCCCUUGCUUUUACAAAUCCCCCCGAGGCAACCUUCCAUUGCAACCCGAUUCCAGCGGGCUAUGCUCGUGUCUUGGUUGAUGAGGUGGUGGACCAAUAUUCGGGGCUAGAGCUUGACAUUCCUGGAGGUGACGAUGAGCACACACUAGGAGAGGCCAACCAUCGUAUCAUCCUAUGGCGAAAGGAUUGCAUCAUCUUUCCAAGGCCACCGACACCGCGUCAUCCGACUCCUCGUCGCAGUCCUCCACCGAGUCAGCAUACUCCCGCUCCUCCAAGUCCACCAACGCGUCAGGCCACUCCUUCUCCAAGUCCGGCACAGCUUCAGGCCACUCCUCCUCCAAGUCCGGCAAAGAGUCAGGCCACUCCUCCUCCAAGUCCGGCACAGCUUCAGGCAACUCCUCCUCCAAGUCCGGCACAGCUUCAGGCCACUCCUCCUCCUCCAACUCAGCCACGUCAGCCGUCUUCGCCGCCUCAGCAAUCACGGAAGAGAGACGCCUCAGCUAUGGUGCGUAGCAGUACAAGUCGAGGUAGUACUGCAGGUACAGGCGGAGGCAAGCGAUUUCAAUAUGGUCCAAGAAGCCUCGCGCCUCUUCCGCAAAGGCCUUACGACAAGUCCGAGGAGGAAAACGUAGCCAUAUCAAAGGCCGAGGUGGAAGCCCAUUUUGCACCGAAACCGCCACCGCCGCCAAGGGAGAAAGUGCCUAUGGAAAAGAUUGACCACUUCAUUCGUAUGGCUAGACCACCAGCUCCCAAGCCUGUUGAGUCAGACUAUGAGCGCCACAUCAAGAAGUUAAAUCGAGCACGUCUACAGAAAGAGGCGAGCUCGAGCUCGAGCAAAUCAGCUGGCAAAAGGAGCGGUAAAACCGUUCCCUAGCUGGGAGAACAGGUGGCGCAAUCAAUCCCCCUGCUUGUUGUGCCAACAACACAUGAGAGUAGGCGCGCCCAAUAUUAUUGUGGGCAAACUGUUAACGUUCCCGGGCUGGGCGAUGUCAUAAUAACCGAGGAGCAUAUUGCGCAGGCUGAAUCGAUCGGGAUCACUGUUGGACAACUCCUCGAUAUCGAGCCCAUGUCUCCGACUAGAGAGGAGGAAAUAAAACGGAAAUAUGCCCGGGGCCAACCUUUGGUCGAGCCAGAGGAGGUCAAUAAGCUCCCAACGAGAAUGUAUGCAUUGCAUCAAUGGUACAUGGACAUUACCAAGAUUUCCAAUCGAGAGUCCCUCAUGGUGAAUGUCAACGAGGAGCAUUACUAUCAUAAGAAAGCUGUGACCGUUGAGUAUUCAGAACUUUUUCAGCUAUACAAUAAAGACGCACUCGAUAAAUCUAUCGCCAGUUGCUAUUGUCUAUAAGUAAUUUCUUUCUGUAAUUUAAGUCUCAAGCUAGCUGAUCAUUUUGAUCAAUCAUUACCUGUAAUUAUCCUCACUAUAUUCUUUUUUGUGGUAUUAUGCAGGAUGAAGAUUUAUGAAAUGAAAAAAGGUGGACGCUAUGGCAUUGGGUUCGUUGAUCCAAAUACCAAUAAUGAAUACACAUGGAAAAUAGAUCCAUAUCACGAAAAAUAUGUAGAGGAAAGCAUGCUACAGUUCUUCAAGGAACUCAAAUACAAUGAAGAUAUACUACUUCCUUACAACUUCCAGUGAGUCACACUGUCUUGUACUACAAAUUCUGUUUUUCCCUACUAGCUAUAGCUACAUGUUUUUGCUUAUAUAUGCCCGCUUAAUUAAGAUAUGCAAACGUGUGUGCAUGCAGAUUUCACUGGAUCUUGUUAAUCAUUAAAGUUGAUCAAGGAACAGUUGAAGUACUAGACUCGCUACUUAAGAAAGUAAGUGACUACGGCAUCGUGAAGGGGAUAGUCAACAGGUAAUUUCAAUCAUUAUUAACUGUAUCUCGGCCUAUUUAAUUAGUUCAUCAUUUCCUGAUAACAACUAUUUAAUAACCCAUUUAUUCAUUUUCUUUGUCGGCGGGCAGGGCUUGGGCAAAGUUCAUCAGGGCCACUCCAGGCGCAUGGAAACAAAAUCUGAAAUGGUAUCGACCCAAGGUAAGUAAUUAAGUAGUACUAGCUAGCUGCCAUCUCUUUAAUUAUUAUGCUUGAUUAAUUAUUAUCUGAUCAAAUUCCAUUCUCGUAAAGGCCUUGAAGCAGGCACCGGGGAAUGAUCUAUAUGCAUACUACGUUUGCGAGAACAUUCGCAUGAUGGCGUCUGAAAGGAGCAAAUCUCAAAGACAGAAGUGGGUACGAUAUCGAUUGUCAGAACACUAUUCCCAAUUUUUACACCAUUAUCGAUAUCUAGUCACACAUUUAAUACACAUGCAUAUUGAUCUUCUUCUUAACAGUUCAAAGAGGUGCGGGACAAGCUCCUAGCAUAGGACCGCAUAGAAGCAAUUCAAGAGGAAAUAGCGGGAUUUUUGCUCGACCAGGUCAUAGAUCCCAAAGAAGAAUACUAUUAUCCGCUACCGCCCCCAUCAACCACUUCCAAUUGUUAUCGUGCUCCGAAGGCAUCAAUUAGCUAGGCUAAUGCCACUGGCUCCGAAGGCACCAAUUAGGAGAANNNNNNNNNNNNNNNNNNNNNNNNNNNNNNNNNNNNNNNNNNNNNNNNNNNNNNNNNNNNNNNNNNNNNNNNNNNNNNNNNNNNNNNNNNNNNNNNNNNNNNNNNNNNNNNNNNNNNNNNNNNNNNNNNNNNNNNNNNNNNNNNNNNNNNNNNNNNNNNNNNNNNNNNNNNNNNNNNNNNNNNNNNNNNNNNNNNNNNNNNNNNNNNNNNNNNNNNNNNNNNNNNNNNNNNNNNNNNNNNNNNNNNNNNNNNNNNNNUUCUACUAGAAAUUCUAUUUAUAUAUAUGCAUAACGUGUACAAUAUGUAGUAUCGUAAAAUAUCAGCAAACGAAAAAGAAUUAAAUGGAAAACACAAAAUUAAAUGAAAAAGAAAUCAUAAACCCAAAACCCCCCAAACAUUUUAAUACCAGUUGGUGACACCAAUCGGUACUAAAGGGCUCCCUACCCCCGAAGCUGCCUCGUGUCACGUGGUUGCCCUUUAGCACCAGUUCGUGUUGAACCGGUACUAAAAGGGGGGGCCUUUAGUGCCUACAUUUUAGCACCGGUUACCAAACCGGCACUAAAGGGCUUUACAAACCGGUGCUAUUGUCCGGUUCUGCACUGGUGCAUACUCUAUAAAAAAAACUUAGUCUGUGAUUCUGUGAAUCAAUAGACAUGCAUGGAUACGGGAAGUAUGGUGACGAGUUGGGAGCGACUAUUUGUAUAGAUAUGUAACAUGUGCUAGAGAAAACAAGAACCUAGGCAAUAAUGCUUCGAGAGCGAGAUAUGUUGGUGCAUUGCAUGCAUGCAUGGAUAUCUUGGAUUAUUGUGCGAGGGCCACGCGGAACCCCUGCACACCAAGCAAGCAAAAAUUCCGCGAGGCAAAAGAUAUCGCCAGCCUAUGUUUGGACAUCCUACAACCAUGGCGAGCCCGUGGGCAGACCUUAAAAUGCCAUGGCCAUGCACGCCGGGCUAGCUCCCCUCUCAGGUUAAAUUGGACGUCCUUCCUAUAUAACUUCGACACACUCGGGAUGCGGAGGCCGUCAACCUGCAGCAUCCUCCCAUCGAGCCGUUGCCUCCUUCCUGCUCUCUCUCGGUCUUAAUUUGGCCUGCCCUCCACGCGCGCGCACCGAUAAAUACACUCUCGACGAGGGCGGUCGAGAAGAGACCGAAAGGAGCAAGAAACAUGGCGCGGCUCUCCGUGACCACCACUGCCCUCCUCCUCGCCGCCGUCGCCUUCUUCAUCGCCGCCGAGGCCGCCGUCACCAAGGACUUCACCUUCGCCCGGGGCAUAAAGCUGCACAUCUCGAAGCAGGGCACGGCGACCGACCACAUCUUCGCCGGGGGCAGCAAGCUCUUCGUCGCGAGGCACGACGCGGCGCCGGCCGACCACGCCUCCGCCCGGGGCAGCAAGCUCGACGUCACGCAGAGCAAGAUCUCCAUCCCGAAGAAGAGGCUCGCCGUCUCGCAGAGCAAGCUCUUCGUCGCGAGGCACGACGCGGCGCCGGCCGACCACGCCUUGGCCCGGGGCAGCAAGCUCGACGUCACGCAGAGCAAGAUCAGCAUCUCGAAGAAGAGGCUCGCCGUCUCGCAGAGCAAGGCGGCCGUCCAGAAGAAGGGCUUCAUCUUCUUGGAAGGGCGCAAGCUGGCCGGCGGCGGCGCGUUGUCGGCGGACACGGCGGGCGCGGCCCCGGGGGCGGUGCAGGCGUGCGACCAGCUGGAGGCGUACCAGAGGGUGUGCCACACGCUGCUGCACCUGCCCGGGGUGACGACGGCGCGGGCGCUGAUGGAGACGGCGGUGCGGGUGGCGCUGGGGCGGGCGCGGGCGGCCAAGGUGACGUUCGACGCGGCCAAGGCGGCGUCCGGGGCGGGCAACCCGAUGGCGUCCAUCCUGGGGUCGUGCGAGCAGAACUACGACGACCUGGUGGACGCGCUGGAGGAGGUGAGCCGGGCGAUGCACAAGCCCGGCACCAGCAGCGAGAGCCUGGUGGAGAAGAUGACGGCGGCCAGCACCUACGCCGGCGACUGCGACAACUGGUACGAGGAGCGCGACGUCAAGUCGCCCUACGAGGUCAUGCAGCGCCACCUCGCCCAGAUGGUCUCCGUCGCCCUCGGCCUCGCCAACAAGAAGCUCUGAGCAAGCUUCGCCGUAUGCUCGCUAUGCUUUGCUGCGCGUGCUGAUUAAUGGACUCUUGUGUGUGAAGGGUGUGGUGUGCUGUAUGCCGUAUGCAUGCACUUGAUGCUACAGUAUAUACUAUGUGAUCAAGGUUUGAGGAGGUUUGUAGUGCUAGUGUAUGUACAAGUAUGCUAACACGGCAAGCAGGUUGACCUCAUUAAUCUAAAAUAUUUCAUUUCAAAUCAAAUGCUACUCUAUUUGGCUUUCCUUCUUUGUGUUGGAAAAUGUCUUCAAAACUAUGACUGGAGUGGUACAUGACAUCUUUCUUUUCUGUGGUUUUUCCGUUUUGACGAUCUUCUAUAAAAUGCCACAUUUCAGAUUUCAUUGACGAUCUUUUCUGUGGUUUUUCCGUUUUGACGAUCUUUUCUGUGGUUUAUCCAGCUGCGAAGAUGGCUAUAGCAUUCCAGAUUUCAUUGUGUUUACUAAAAGAGAAGAAGUCCGCAUUAGUUGAAGGAAUGGGAAAGAUCGCAUGCUUUACAUGGUCUUGCACUGCAAGUUCUCCCGCAAAAAACAACAUAGAUGCAUUGUUAGUUUGUCUUCACCGACAUCGAAGAUCCUUACGAAUGGUGAGAUAUUGAGUUUGCUGACGAAGAUCCUUAGGAAAGGCAAGAUAUUGAGUUUGAUUGCUGGAUGAUGCCAGGUCGCUCUCAAUUUUGAUUUGUGCUGGUUCGUGUGCAACACCCCAUGUGCCCGCCUCGCAGCAAUACACUUAUGUUGUGUUUCAGUUUGGGAGAUCAGAAAUUUGGUGCGCCUACCCAUUUUGUGCUAGAACUGUUCUUCACGAAUGAUGAGCUGGUGAUUGAUUAACCAAUACAUUCCUACCAUAAGGAGCAUUGUUGUCACAUAAGCAAACACGGCAUCAUGAUACAACCGUCACCAACGGCACUAAGAAACUCCAUGAGAAUCAUGAUGACAACCGUCACCAGACCUCCUAAACUCAUGAUUGUUUCAGAUUGCUCGCUUAAGUUGAAGAUUUCUCUGUAGACUUGCUGGAGACUGCACCACAGGUCAUCAUACAUUCACACUGGUAAGAAAGGUCAAUACAGUUCGUGAUGCUCCACAGGGAAUACAGAGCAGACAUGCACCCAACAAUUUUUUUACUCAUGACUAGGAGGUAUCAGAGGGUAAUAAUACACCUCCAAUCAAAAUAGCUUGGAAGGAAAAUAGUAAGAUUAGAAACAGGGCCCAAGCUUGUGAGUGACAUCAAUAGGGUAAAUAAACCAAUAUGAUACAUGUGAUAUCAACCAGGAAAGAAUUGGAAAACAAGAAUUCAACUAGGCAACUGUACCGGUGGAUGGUAACUUACAGCAAACAUGGGUAAAAACCACUAAGAGAACUCUGCAUGAUGGAAGGGUGGAGCUUUAGGGACAAGAGCCCCAACCUGCCGGUAAACGCCAUCUAUCCUGCCGCCGUAAUUCAGGUGCAGCACUACAUGUGCUCCUCGCCUCCUCAGACUCUAACAAACUGCUUGAUUGCUCCAGCAGCUAGAGCAGAGAUCAGAUAAGCCUCAGCUCGUAUUCACCGGCCAUUGUGAUGUACCUAACCCAAGGGAGGGCCUGGUAUCCACUUUUCUCGAUGACUUUCAGAUAACGAACCUGCAAAAGUAUAAGAAUAUGGUAUAUAAGCAGGAUGCAAGACUGCCAAAGAAAGUUGUGAGCAAAGCUACCUAGUUACAGAUCUACAACAAGAGCUGAUGGAUUACCUGAAUGCCUGAAACGGUAAAAUAGGGUAUCUCAAAUUUCACACGUAUUGGAGCCUUCUUUUCAGGGGUUGCUUCUUCCGAGGUAAUGCUGGGAAGGCUAAACUCUGCUCUACACAUAUAUUCCUGAUAGAGUAAUAGGUCCAGGGAAUUAGAGCAAUCCAGCCUAGCAUAACAUGGAAGCAAAAGUGUACAUAUGGAACUGGAUCAGGACCUACCUUGCCACCAGGAAAUGAUUUAAUUUUCCAGACCAUUGCGUCUCUCUCAGGUGCAUAUGCCGCAGAACCCAUUGAAGUCCUUAUAUUUGGGUUUGUCGCAUCAUAGGGUACAGGUACUUCAAUUUCUACAUUUGUUCCGGUGCUGGAAAUGAGAAAAAGAAAUGCUAUGUAAGUUGGUCAUUCAUGCCACCAGAGGCACAUUAUUAUUGUUAGAAACAGGCACCUUCUUUCCUUGAACUGGCUCCUUGCCUUCACCAUGAUCUCUAUCCGGCUUCUUGAAUGCUUCUCAACUUGUGCUUCUACCCAGAUCAGAGGCUUCACCUGCAGGAGGGACCAAAGCAAGAUGUUUCAUGCACUAAUAUCAAAUGUGUGCCAGGACUUGGCAUCUCAUAUGUCACCAAAUAGUUCCUGGUUGUAAAACACAAAGGACAAACCUGUGUGGUGAGUCUGUAAGUCAUUAGAUCAAAAGCUCCAUCUGGAGGGACGAAUGAUAUAGUCCUAUCAUUCUCAAAUCUGGUCAACCGAACACACCUAAAAAAAGGAUUGGUCAAUAUAAACCCUAAAAUGACUACUAUGACAAAAAGAAUAUAGUAAUCGUGUAAUCUUACUGAUGAAAUUUGAUAUCAUCCAGAUCUAUUGCUUUUCCUUUAGUUGCUCGGCCUUGCGCUUCCAAAAGAACUCUAUCAUUCAACCCAAGUUUACACUCGGGCAUUCCACUGUGACAAAUACAUGCAUAUCAGCCAUGAUGAAUAUAUCCCACAGGAUAUACAGGGAAAACAUAGUCGGAUAAUACUUUGACCCAUUAACCCAAAAGACCAGAAGUCGAAACCAGCUGGUUUGAGUCAAAGUUCAAUUAUCAUUUGUAACUUACAUAAUCCAGUUCAUUUAUCGGGUACAACUUGAUGAUAUUAUCUGAAAGAGAACUAAGUAAAGUCUGCUUGUUCAAGACACACUUGCAAUACAUAUGUUGUAGUUGGCAGGGUAUGUAUACACUUUAUUAGUCUUUAUUCCUCACUGUCAAUUUGUUUCAACUGCUACUACACAACUACUAAUUUUAAAGGUUACAGGAAUGUGUUGGAUAAUAUAAUCUAGCUACAUCUUCACAGAGCUACAUGGAUGUGAUUCAUAUUAAAUUUAUUACUACACAAGCAGCUGAGUUAUAAGCAUAGUGUGAAUUUGUGGUAUGACUGUAUGGGAUGAUAUCACGAAGUUACCUCAGAAAGGUCCGCAUCUUCAGCGCGCCGAUGAUGUCAGAUCUCACGAUCUGCCCGUUGCUAUUGACAAGAAUGUUGACACUCUCAACCACAUCCAAGAACACCUGCGAUACACGAGCCAACAAUUUUCCCAUCACAUAACCAUCAAAGUGAACCAGAGUAAACAGGGGCAGAGGUGUAAUGUAUCGCACUUCAUUCUUCUUGUACCGAAUCCCCUCGCUCCGCCAUGACACGGCGUUCGUCACUGCCAUGGGCGGCCUCUGUGUGACCUCCAUCCUGUAUGCAUCGGUCUUGAUGAACUCACUCAGGAUCGUCGCCUCUGUGUAUUGCGGAUACCCGAAGUCCAUCAUCUCAUCAAGUAACUCAUACUGCGCAGAACAAAGGGCGUCCAUAAGCCCCUCCAACAUCAGUGGCAGCAACUCAAACUGAACCAAACCCAGCUCAUGUAACACAGAAACGCACCACAUACCACGACGACGAAGUUGUCCCUCAGAGAUUCCUCCUCCAGCUCCUCAAAGUAGUGCUUGAACACCUGCGCCGACACACAGAUCACAUGAGCAGAAUGCCCGUUGCUGCUACUUGCUCGCAAUGCUAAAGAGAAGCACUGCUCGCUGCGGUGAGAAUGGCGGCGCACGUACAUCGACGAGGCGGUGGAGGAAGAGCAGGAUGCUGGCGGCAUUGCAGUUCUGGCGGGCGGCGGUGAGGAGGAAGACGUUGUUGUGCUGGAUGAAGGUGUAGGAGACGCCGGCGCCGUCGUGGACGACGGGCGAGUGGACCUCCGCGUCGCCCUGGUAAAGCAGGGCAGAGCUCAGACCCGCAAUUCGAUGCUGCACAGAUCUGAGAGGAGAGGGAGGGAGGGCUCACGGACCUCCUUGUCGAGCAGCUUGGUGAAGAAGCGCUCGGCCUGGAGCGCGGUGACGUCGCCGCGGUAGUCGCGCCAGACGAGGACGCGGCCCUUGAUGUCGAGCAGGAAGAGCGCCGACACCGCCCCCGCCAUGCGGGCGGGGCACGCUGGAUCUGGAUCUGCCGGUGUAGUGCCUGACUGUGUGGUCGGCGGGGGGCGGCGAGCGGCGCGGGCGGCUGCUGGCUUCGGGCCUCGGCCGCUGAGGCCUCCGGAUCCGCCGCGGCUCUGGCUGCUGUGCACGCGCGCGCCGUGUUUGAGUGAGGGAAGGGAAGGGGAGAUCGGAGCCGGGACUGACGACGGCGGGGGCUUGUGCUGGAGUGGUUGGAUCAGAUCCGGGCGGUUCUCUUGCUGUCCCACUGCACGGUGGGGCCAGUGCUUGGUUACUGGCUUUGCCAGGAUUAGUUAGUCUUUUAACAGGAGUAACACGUGUGAUUGAUGAGGGAAAAAAUGGAUCAAGGUUGAGCGUCUACAGCCGGACGCCCCCGGCCCGGUCACCGAAAAUGCGAUCAAGACAGACGUCUUAAACGAGUCUCAAACGUUCGGACUGGCCGGCAUUUCUCAUUUCUAGCCCAAAUAUGCGGUGGAUAUGCGGCUCUUAGAGCAUCUCCAACAGCCGCGCAACGCGCCGCGCGCAAAAAGGUCAUUUGCCGCGUGCCGUUCGCCUGGUUUGGCGCGGCCGGCAGCGGUGGCUCCAGCAGACGCGUCAAAACUGAGCGCGCGCGCGUAGCUCCAGCGGCCGCCUAAAAUGUAGCGCGCGCUAAAUAGUGUGUAUAUUUUUUUUAAUAAAAUCCAUAGAUAGAAAAAACAAUACAUAGAUAUUUUACAUAGUUCCAUAGCAUAGAUAGAUAAAAAUUAUUUAGAUAGUGCAAGGACAUAGAUAAAAACUACUAGUGCACCUACAGCCUACUCCCAGUCGUCGUCGUCAUCGUCAUCGUCAUCGUCGCCAUCCUCGCUGGUCUACUCCGAGGUAUCAAGCCACAUGUCUCACCACCAUUCUCAACUACAUCGCACUGGGAUAGCGCCAGGACCUUCCGCCGACGCCUGUCCAACCGCUCAGCGCGGCGCCUUUGCGUCUCCUCCUCGCGGCGCCUUGCCCAGUAGGCUUGCUCGUAGGAUACGUCCUCCGGGUGUUGUUGGCGCCACUCCGCCAUGACCCGCUCGUCCUCAUGGGCGACGAGGAGGCGGUUCUGCCGCUCAGCAUGCUCCGCACGGUCUUGUGCCGUGCGAAGACGAGGCGGCGGGGCGACGUCCAGCGCCUGCUGCAGCGUGUGGACAUCGUGAAAGUUCAUCUGCUGGGGCAGCCUGCCUAGGCGCCACGCCGCCGCGUCGUACGCGCGGGCGGCCUCGUGCGCCAUCUCGAAGGUGCCGAGGCCGAGCCGGAGUUGGCCGGACCGUAUCUCCGAGUAGAACCCGCCGUUGGGGCGCUGGCGGACGCCGCGGUAGCCCGGCACUCCUCGGCAGCGCAGCGGCAUGGUGGCAGGGCGCUGGAGCGGUGGCGCGGGUGGCAGCGGAAGCAACCGAGAAAGCGGUGGAGGGGCGUGUGGCAACGGAAGAGGAAGAGAAGCGUAUGCAAUAGGCGUGUGGCGCGCACCGCAUUUUAUAGGCGCGCCGGAAGCGGUGCGGCAAAAAAAAGCGCGACCUGCCGCCAUUUUCCGCGCGCGCGCAAUUUUCCCGCCACCGCUGGAGCGCGCCGAAACGUCCCGCGCGCCCAAAAGACUCGGUUUACCGCGCGCGCGCUUUUUACCGCGGCUGUUGGAGAUGCUCUUAGGCGCGUCCACCAUGUUGGACCCGGCCCACACUAGCCCAUCCGACACCGCAUAUAUCCCUCCUCAUCCGCUCACCGGACCAUACCCUAGCCACUUCAAUCCACUCUUUCCGCCACCCAAGCUCCCGUCCUGCGAUCUCCGACCAUCUCUGACAUGGGGGCAGCGGAUCUAAAUCAUUCACCUCCAGAUCUGUCGACCCCAACCUCAUCCCACGCGGCCCAGAUGAGGAUAACCGAUGUUUGGCUUGCGCUCCGCUGCUCCCGAGAGGAGGCCCGUGCGAGGCAGCGCUCAGACUCUUUCCGUCGGAAAUUCAUUGCGUCCGUCCAAAUGGCGCAUGGAUUCGGUGCUAGGUGUGCCGUCGCUGCCUCACCGGAGGCGAUACGGGCCGUCUGGCGUCCGAACGCGGUGGAGGACACGCACCCUCUCCGUUAGCGCCCCGAGGCCAUGAACGUCGUCCGACGCAAACAACAUUAGAUUGUGGAAUUGGUUCACUUGCUUGGAACAACAAAUUCUUCAAGGUUACGAGCUAUAACAUUUUUUUGGAUUUUGAGUAACACUUGGCACAAAAUAAAAACUAGAACAAUAAUAAAAUCUGGAAAAAAAACUCUAACAAAACUCUAGCACAAUUACUAGUGACAUAAUUUCUUCCCGACAACGGCACCAGAAAAAGGUUUGAUGACUCCCUUUAGUGAUCCGGUAACAAGUAGCAAAAAGGUUCCCCGCCUCUUUCCCUAAGGUGUGACCUGAGUUAUCGAUUUUGUAAGAGGACGUGCACUACACCAAAGGUUUCUAACAAGCUUUUGCAAAAGGAUUAAAAUUCAGCUUUUAUACCGGAUUUAAAUCACCUUUGUUACUAAAACACUUAUAAUAAAAUACACGACAUGAGGACUUAAUUCUUACAACUAUAUAUUUGUGAUCAAGAUCAUCAUGAUCUUCAUUCGUGCUCUAUACAACACCCAUUAAAAUGUGCUUGCAUCGAGACGUAGUGGGGAUGUAUCCAAAUUGCUUCUUGAUCGAAACAUGCCAUCAGUGGCGAAGCCAGCGUGUAGGCGUUGGGUUCACUUGAACCCAACGAUCUUUGCACGUCACGGCCAUAUAUACACGUAUUCACUUGCAUGAACCCAAUGCAAAUGCACGCUUGAACCCAUCAAAGCAACUAGGCACGAGCAAGAAGCCUCUAGCCCAUUGUAAAUUUAUUAUAACAUGAUGAAUAGCCCAACAAAAAGCCUACAGCUAUUUCUCAGAACAAAGAGCCCAAUACCAUUACGAUAAAAUCCACGCAGCAGGCUCGACAGUUGACCGCAUGAUUCCAUACCAUCCCUACGCAACACGCUGCCGCUUAUCGUUCCCCCAGUUCGUUUCCCAACCCGGCCCCUCGGUGUUUCAUCGCGGCGCCAGAUCGGCAGCCUCCGGCGGCAAGCCAAGAACAGUAAGUCGGCCGUCGGCGGUGGCUGGCACUUGAAGUCCAAACUGAACUUAAUCAGAUCACUCCGUCCCUGCUGUGUGGUAUUACCUUUUACCCUAGUUUUCUGAUUAUUUUCCCCUGAACUUUGAUUUGUCUGUAGUACUAUGGUAUGCAAUAAUAUUUCCCAAGAAGAAAUUGAUCACCCGAUUCAGAUAACGAUGCUGGCACUUCUAGGCCAUCCGUUAGAUGUAAUUAAGCAGUACAUCGAAUGCCGCUGCAAAUAAUCUCCCAAAGUUUUCAAUUGACGGAUAAAUUACUGCCAUAUGAUGUGUUCGAUCUUUUCAUGGUAACGAAGAUCGAAAAGCUACACACUAAAAUGUGAGCGGCUUUACAUGCUUCUUUCGCUUGAUGGUACUUACUUUGAAUUUGUGAAAAUAACUUGUCAUUUUUUUCCAAUAUUUUCAGCAGAUGAGAAGCUGACCAUGAAGCUAUGAAGUUAUUGGGGUACUACCUUGUUUAUAAAAUGAAAAUAAGUGAUUUUAUAAUUUCAUCCAACUGGUAUGUCUUGCACUCUUUAGCUUUAAAUUUAAUCUAUAUGUGUGUGUGUGUGUGUGUGUAUACGAUAAUCAACAUCAUAUUCUGUUUGUUACACUCUUGUUGUAAGAAUUUAUCAAAAAGACUCUUGUUCUAAUAUAGUUCGAAAUUAAACUUUACACUUAAUUAAUUCGUACCAAAUUAAUUCUCACAGUGAGGUAAUGAGUGAACCCAUUGGCCAAAUUUUCUGGCUCCGCCCCUGCAUGCCAUGUAUCUAUCUACUACCCUCCGUAUAAUAGAACGAAAUGCAGAGAUCCAAGUCCAUAUUGUCCAUCCAUACACCUGAUCAUAUAGCCCAUAAUACUCUGAUCUUUAGUGCCAAUUGCAAUUACUGUUCCACCUCUUCAAACGCACGCCCGCGCAGUCCUGAGGCACCUAUAGUCGCACGGUUCCGCCAAUAAAAACCGUCCAGUCGCGCUCCUCGCCUUCCUCGCAUAGUUCUAGUCGCCCUUCAUCACUCCUCGCCUCCUUCUCACACGCGGGGGUGCCUAGCACGUCAUCUGCAUCGCCCUCGCCGGCGGAAUCCAGUCGCCCCCCUCGCUCCUCGCCUCGCUCCUCGAUCCUCGCGAUGGCGCCUUCCUGGUGGAAGUGGAAGGACUUCCAGCCAACAUGGCCCCUACCGCCCAUCACUGACGGACUUGCAGCCACCCGCCGCUGCCCGCCCCUCGCAACUGGGCUUGCAACAAGCACGGACCUGCCAGCCUCACACCGUCAAGGAGGUUGCAAGUUCCUAAAAAAUAGGCUUGAUUGUAAGGCUUGUCGAUGUGAACACGAGCAUCCGCCAUCUAAGGAGUGGCCUCCGACGGCGCUUCUUUCUCAUCCUACACCAGCCUUGGUUGUAAGGCUUGUUGACGUAAGGCUUGUCAGGCACAGAGCUUGGGCCAGGCGCACCUCCAGCCUUUGACCACUCCAUCGCCAUAACGAGAACAUUUGCCCGAGAAAGAAAACUCAGAUCGGGUGACAAUGGAGGGAACCCUAACUCCCCUUUUCUCAAAACUGAUAGUAGAUCAAGGCCAGGAGGUGAUGCGGGAUCACCCUGGUUCAGCCCGAAGCAAAACUACUGAGGGAGAUCGGGGCAAGGAAGGUGAAAACCUUAACAACAGCAGAAAUCACCCUCUGGAGAACACUACUGCAGGAUGGUCCUAACGCAACACAUGUAUCGAAGACUCUUCGACUAAAUUGUGGGUGAUGCAUAAAUCGCAAACGGUAUGGCUCAAACGGACAAGUCCGGUCACUGACCGGACGCAUCCGUGGACCUUUAAGGCCAGAUUUGCUCUAUGGACAAGGGGCGACCUUUUUUUUUGAGUCACGCCAGGUCGUUCAACUCGUGCGUGUUUCGUUCAUAGUUUAAAAAGGCGCGCCUAAGCAAGCGCUUAAGCACGCAUAGGCUCUAGGCGUUGGCAAAACGCAUUGCGCAUAACUACGCUUAAUCUGCGCAUAAUUGCGCAUAAGCAUACGCUUUGGUCAGUAAAACGCAAGGCGGUGGUAAAACGCACAAUUUACGCCUACGUUUUUUUGAACUAUAGUUUUGUUUCAGCUCGGCUAGACCAGAGUAUAUCUGGCCAUGCGCCGGGCCUUAAAAGUCCAUGACAGAAAACCGAGGCCCAGACCCUCCCAGGCCCUACCAUCGGGCCUACUUUUCAAGACCCAACCCGACCCAUCUGGUAAAAAGCCCUGAAAAGCCCUUAGGGCUUAGGGCCGUGGGCUGGGCCUCUUCCUUAAAAUGCCAAGCCCAAGCCCGUUCAGGCCCUGCUGGUGGGCUCAAAACUCAGGCCCAAGCCCGGCCCACGGGCAAGCCCAUCGGGCCUAGGCCCUGGAUUUUAGGGCCGGGCCUGGGUGGACCGACAGGGCUGGGACGAAGAUGGCCAGAACUAUAGCUGGCCAAAUGGGCCGGCCGUGAGCACGCCGGCACGACCCGCCUUGGGCCAGGCAUGACAUGAGCUAAACGGGCCGGGCCCGGCAUGCGGCACGCCCUGGGUCAUGCCUGAGGCUGGGCACGCGGGCCGGCACGGCACAACCCGAUUACGUUUUUUAUUUUUUUUUAUAUCUAUAUAUGGCCCAACAUGUAAAUAUAGGCUAAAAACGCUCAGUGCGUCAAAUAACAGGCUGAAAAUAUGCAGGCCACCAUGCUAAACGUGCCGACCGUUUAUUUAUUGGUCAUGCCUGGGCCUGGGGGCGCAGCACGCGGGCCGGCACGGCACAGCCCGUAUAGUAAUCGUGCCCUGGCGGGCCGUGCCGGGCCAGGCACGAUUACGAUGGGCCGGGCCGGGCCGUGCCGGGCUGGCCCGUUUGGCCAGGACUAGACCAGAGAGACCGGCCGGCCCAUCAGGCCCUUCUUCUCCCCGACGAGAGAGAGUUUGCUCCGGGCUCGGCUUCUCUUCUUCCUUCGAGCUCCCACGCCGCACGCCCCUCAUCUCCCUCCCCUCCGUCUCCGUCUCCUCUCCCACGCGCCGCGCCAAUCCCCGCCACUCCCAGCGUCGCCGGCGCCAGGCCAGCUCCACCGAACAUACAUCACCCAGAACACGAGAUCCGAAAGGCGGGCGGGCGGCGGCGGCGGCGGCGCGGAGGAUGGCGGCCACGCUGUCGCAGCUGGACGACGGCAUCGUCCGCAGCAUGGCCAUCGGCGCGGUCUUCACCGACUACGUGAGACUCAUUGCCUAACCCCCCAGCCCGCCCCCCUGUUUGUUCCUUCUGCCCACGCUAAUCUGCCGCGGCGAAUCGGCUGGCAGGCCGGGAAGAUAAGCUGCCUCGACUUCCACCGCAAGGAGGACCUCCUCGUCACCUCCAGCGAGGACGACUCCAUUCGCCUCUACAACACCACCAGCGCCACGUGAGUCCGCCGCCCCCGCUUGGGUUCACAUCUGCUCUUUUAGUGCUUCUGCCUGUGUUAACUGAACCUCGGUGUGCUAGACAGGUUACGGCAUGUGGGUGGGAAGUGUCUGGCAUCUAGUGCAUUUUGAGUGUUGGCCUAUAGAUUCGAGUGACAGUGCUGGGUUCUUGCAGCGAUGCUUCUGUGACUAUGUUAAUAAAUUUUAUGGUGAUUUGCUUCACAAGUAGGAGUACAGCAGCAUUAGGCCAUUGACUAUUUGUGAUGCAAACCCCUAGUAAUCUGAUGUUGCAUGUGUUAGACAUAAUUCUGUAGGAUUACAUGAUAGGAUCUUUAGGCCUAGGCAUUAGAUCGCGAAAACAUGAUUAGACAGAGAGGUAGAUCUGCAGGGGCACAAACGUUGGUCCGUGGCUCGGCCCCUUUACGUUAUGUUAUCCUUCCAUCCCAGUGGGUCGUAGUCUCGUAGAUCAAUUCCAACAUUCCCCUCGGCUCAACUACUUUUGCCCAUUGUCCAUAGGAAUAAUAUAUGAAAGUAAGGUGUUACAACAACCAAUGAAAUGUCGUUGAACGUCAAUACUUAUAGUACGCAUCCUGUUUUGAAAUGGAAAAAUAUUACUUAUUGGGAGUAGUUCAUGUUAACGGUCCCAUAAUUCUAGGAUCGGAAGGCUUCCCAUAAUCCCAUGCCGGCUACAUGCUCAUGAAAAAUAGUGGGUGUUAAGCUUUUAGUGAGCGGAUCCGCAAGCAUACUUGUCGUACUGAUAUGCUUAACAUUAAUAGUUUGAUCAUGGAUUCUUUCACAACAUGAUACUGUUUGUCAAUGUGCUUGGCAGCAACACUUAACUUGCUGUUACUCGUAUAGAAAACUACGAGUUCAUUAUCGCAGUAUAAUGUUAGUGGUUUAGGGAUUUCUUACUAUCCACACACCCGACAAAAUCAGCGUAUGAAUAACCUACAACUUCCACAUUAUCAGACCUUCUAUACGUAAGCAUGAAAUCUUUAGUGCCUUGCAGGUAACACAAUACUUUCUUUGUGGCCUUUAAAUUUAUCAAUGUUCAGGAUAUCGGUAACUGGUACCAUAUUGGUCGGGUGCUUUGUAUGGAUAAAUCGGUGAAUCGCCCUAUUAUAGCUGAAUAUAUUAGUAACCCAUUUAUCGGUAGGUUAACCAGGGCCCUAUCAAUAUAUCCUAGGCUUAAUAGGUUAACUAGGGCUCUAUUAACUGAAUUAACUGGUACCAUAUUCAGCACAGCAGCAACACCAAUGUUCCAAAGGAGAGCACAACAGAAGCAAGAACACAAGUGCAGAACAGCAGCAGUAGGAGUGUGGUACAUAACAGAGGAGAGGGGUUUACCUUGCUGUUGCCUGGGCCAAAAAAGUGCCUGGCAGUUUAUCGGCCAACCGAUAAUUCAGCCUGACAGCCGAUAAAUCGGUUUGUCAGACUGAUAAACUGCCCCUACCAGUUAAUGAAUCAAAUAGGGCCUUUUCAUAUCGGAAGGGGUCCGAAUAGCGAUUAACUGACCGAGAUGCUGAUUAACUGGCCGAUAUUUGGAACAUUGAAUAUAACAUAUAUGCAGAUGUCCACUUCAUUUUCUUUUAUUUAAACCAGAAGUGCAGAUGUCCACUUCAUUUUCUUUUAAACCGGAAGUUCUAAUAAUCUUAUCGAACUUGAGGUACCAUUGUCAAGAAGUUUGCUUCCAGCCAUAAAUGGAUUUCUUUAAAUGAUCUGCCAUGUAUUUUUUUUCUUCCAUGGCAAAACCUUCAGGUCAUGUCAUGUACACAUCUUCGUUCAAGAAUGAUGUCUUGACAUCUAUUUGAUGUAGCUCUAAAUCAUAAUGAGCUGCAAGUGCCAUGAAAAUUCUGAAAGAAUCUUUAGAUGACACAUGUGAGAAGGUUUGAUUAUAAUAGAUCAUUCUCUUUGUGCGAAACCUUUUGCUACAAGUCUUGCUUUGAAGUUAGAAUCUUUUGACGUCCCCUUUGGUAUCAUAUUUGGUUUUUUAGACUCACUUGCAGCUUGCCUUUUUGCUCCAUCAGAACUUCUACCAAGUCCCAAACAUCAUUUGAACUCAUAGACUUCAUCUCGUCUUUCAUGGCAACCAACCAUUUGGACAAGUUUUCACUUUCAGUAGCUUCCUUAUAUGAGACCAGAUGUUCUACCUUCCCUAUGUCAUUUACAUCCUCACUCAUGUAAGUGACAAAGUCGCUUGGGAUGGUUCCUUAACCUUGUGAUCUUCUCACAGGCUCAUUACUUUGUACAUUUCUUCUUGCACGGGGAGGACGAGGAUUAACACCAGGUUGAGGAUCAUCAGUAGAUUGAGAAACCUCAUCAUGCUGAGGACCUUCAUUAGGCCGAAGCUCCUCAUUGUACCGAGGAUCCACGUGAAGUUUAGGAUCACUAGUAGGUGUCUCAUGCAUAUUACGCCUAGGGACAAAAUUCUCUUGGAUAAUUGGGGAUAGAACAUACACCCGCUUCUCCUCAAGAUCAAUUGCCCUAGCCUUUGUGACUCCAUUAUCCUCAAAAACACCGCUUGCCCGAUGUCCACAAACUUGGUGGUAUGACGUGGGCAACCCUUUCCUCUAGGAGCUUACCCAUUGAAAAAUCAACUAAUUGUCUUUGGGCCCCACUUUUAAAUUUGUGGAUUCAUACUUUAGCUUUAGCACGGGCAGCCCCACACACGCAAGUAAUUUGAGCUUGGUUUCUUUCUUGUCCACAUCUCAUAAGGUGUGCCUGUUGCUGACUUAGUUGGAACAAGAUUUAGCACAUGCAUGACUGUCUUUAAUGCCCCCAUCCAAAGGUUCACUGGUGAUCUUGAGCAGCUAAGCACGGUUCACACCAUAUCCAUAAGGGUGUGAUUGCGACGCUCAGCCAUGCCAUUUUGGUGAGGUUCACCAGGUGUUAAAUAAUGAGCAAUGAGUCCAUUCACAGUUGGGAACUUGGUAAUAAGUUCCUAAUCUACCUCUAUGUUAAUCAUGUUUAGGUGAUCUAAUGUCUAGGCCGAACAAUUCUAUCACGCUAUCCUAAAGAAUUAUGUCUUAACAUUGGUAUCAGAGCGUUCCAUUCCCCCUCGUAAUGUGGCCCAAACGGUGGUGCCAUAAUUUCGAAGAAUUACUGACGCCUUUCCAUUUCUUCUCAUCUUCCAUUCAUCACUCACAUACGUAAAAAUAAUAAUUAAGGAAUAACAUGCAUAAUUUGCCUCAUCUGACACCGACGCCAACAUUUUUAUCACACUGAUUUAAAAUGAAUUGUUUGUUGCCAAACAUGCAUGCAUACAUGUCAACAUCCACGCAAGAAACAAAAACUAAAUUCCUACUUAACUAGAUACAUAAAGACCAUUAUUUCAUUGAAGCUUGUAGCUGAUGUGAAGCUCCAAUGUGAGAGAUCCUGCAGUUUCAACAUCGACUUCAAUUCCAUUAGCUACCUUAAGUUUUUUUGCCGCUUGAGUUAUAAUUUCGGUCGUAACGAAUCCCUACAUGGAGUUAGCAACAUGAGCAGUUGCACCUGAAUCAAUCCACCAUGACAUUCUAGAGAAAUCAACAUAAAUUGUUUCAUCAUCAAAAGUUAUUUCAUCAAUACCUUUUUUGUUAGCCAUUUGAGAAGCCCGGGCAAUCCCUCUUAACAUGUUCUGGGUGUUUGCAGAAGUUGCAAAGUCUCUCUCCAUCAGUAUUCGUAGCAUUAACAUUAGCGGGAGCCGGAGGAGCCGAACGAUAGCAACUUGGCUCUUUACAUCCCUGGGCUUUGGCUCAUCUUUCUUGAGGACUUGUUUUUUGUUGAGCUUAUGAUUGCCAUGGUUUCAUGCUCUCUCUUCGCAGAGUUAACAUGAAAAACAUGGUCCUUUUGUUUGCCUCUCUGUUCAAGUUGCUCUCGUUCUGCUCCUCCAACCCUCUCUAAUGUUAAUGCUACGAAUGUUGAUGGAGAGAGAGACUUUGCAUCUUUUGCAAACACCCAGGACAUAUUAAGAGGGAUUGCCCAGACUUUCUCAAAUGGCUCAACAAAAAAGAUAUUGAUGAAAUCACUUUUGUUGAUGAAGCACUUUAAGUUGAUUUCUCUUGAAUGUCACGGUAGAUUGAUUCAGCUGCAACUGCUCAUUUUGUUAACUCCUUGUAGGGAUUUGUUAUGACCCAAAUUAUAACUCACGGGGCAAGAAAACUUAAGGUAGCUAAUGGAAUUGAAGUCGAUGUUGAAACUACAGAUCUCUCACAUUGGAGCUUCACACCAGCUAUAGGCUUCAAUUAAAUAAUGGUCUUUAUGUAUCUAUGUAAAGUAGGAAUUUAGUUUCCGUUUCUUGCUUGGAUGAUGACAUGUAUGAAUGCAUGUUUGGCAACAAACAAUUUAUUUUAAUUAAGUGUAAUAAAAAUGUUGGCCUCAGUGUCAGACGAGACAAAUUAUACAUGUCAUUCCUUAACGAUUUGGUAUGCAUGUGAAUGAUGAAUGCAAAGAUGAGAAGAAAUGGAAAGACGUUAGUAACUGUNNNNNNNNNNNNNNNNNNNNNNNNNNNNNNNNNNNNNNNNNNNNNNNNNNNNNNNNNNNNNNNNNNNNNNNNNNNNNNNNNNNNNNNNNNNNNNNNNNNNNNNNNNNNNNNNNNNNNNNNNNNNNNNNNNNNNNNNNNNNNNNNNNNNNNUUCUUUACGAUUACGUGAUAGGAUCGUUAGGCGUAGACAUUAGAUCACCUAAACAUGAUUGAAUAGAGAGAUGAUUAGGAACUUAGGAUCAGUUCUUUUGGGGCUUAUGGGUGGCUGCCAAAAUAAGCUGCCCCCACCCAGCUUAUUCUGGCAGCCCAACCUAAAAUUUUAUUCUAGAAGAAGCCUAGUAAUUAAAAGCUUAUUUUGGCAGUCAUCCAUAAGCCUGAAAAGAACUGACCCUUAUUGCCAAUGGGUGCAGCCAUUGGCUUAGUGGGGCGAUGUCCCGUGCCUGCUCGAUGCAGGCGUGACAUAGGCUCGGUGAAUAUGUCGGUGGCGGGUACCGGCGAUCAUCUGGACGCCACCGGCACUGUUUGGUGCCGUCGGAGAUGGCCUUCCUAUUGCAGCAGCGCCUCCCCUAGAUCGGUUUAGGGAUUUGAGAUGUGGGGAGCAGCAGAAAACUGUAUGCGAACUGGUCAUACGUACCCCCCCCCCUCCCCCCCUCUUUUUAUAUGGCCCUGGCGAUCAGGCAGCCGAGACAAUGUUGGUUAGGGACGCCCCUGAUCAGGGUGCGUUAGUUUGGGGCGAGGGGCACGAACGUUGGUUCGUGGCCCUCCCCUUUAUGUUACGUUAUCCUUCCAUCCGAGCGGGCCGUAGAUCAAUUCCAACAGCAUGCUGGUCAGUACGAUCCACUUAGAUGAUUUAAUGUUGUUUGUACUGAGUAUUUGUUCAUGGUUAUGCUGCAGUAUGCCAUUGUCUUAUUUAUUUUCCUACUGCAGUUGCUUGUUUUUCUUUGUCAGAUUUAACUUUUUUGUAUGCGACCCUGCAUGAUGCCGGCAUUUUGCUUUGUUUCAUGCACUUGUGUCAUUGACUAUUAUUGACAAGUGCUAGAAUUUGGACUUUUUUUUUAGGUUGUCGAAGACAACUUAUCAUAAAAAACAUGGUGCUGACCGUGUCUGUUUUACUCAUCAUCCGAGUUCCAUAUUAUGUUCAUCAAGAUACAAUGUGGAGUCAGGAGAAUCACUUCGUUACCUGUCAUUGUAUGACAACCGUUGCUUGAGAUAUUUCAAAGGACACAAAGACAGGUUCAACAAAUUUUCCUUGGAUUCUUGUUUGUAGCAACUAUUUCAAGGGUCAGAUGCUGAGGCCUGCAUUCUUUUUAUGUCAUUUCAGGGUUGUUUCACUAUGUAUGUCACCUGUCAAUGAUAGCUUUAUGUCGGGGUCACUUGAUCACAGUGUCAGAAUAUGGGAUCUUCGUGUAAAUGCUUGUCAGGUUUGGCCACAGAAUCUGUUAAUUUGAUCACAAAUAACUUCAAUAUGCAUAUUUUGUAUUUAGCUGAUGAAAAGUACCAAUUUAUCCUCUGAGUGCUUUUCAUGCUUACACGUUUAGCAUUCAGGGUAUACUACGUCUGCGUGGUAGGCCUUCUGUUGCAUAUGAUCAGCAGGGACUUGUUUUUGCUGUAGCAAUGGAGGGAGGUGCUAUUAAGCUGUUCGAUUCUCGGUCAUACGACAAGGUCUGUAUUGAACUUGAAUCUCAAAGUCAUAUAUCUAGAAAGCAUGUGAAAUUCUCAAUCUUGUGAAAGAAACCACUUUCAGGGUCCAUUUGACACUUUCUUGGUUGGUGGAGAUACGGCUGAAGUGUCUGACAUUAAAUUCAGCAAUGAUGGCAAGUCUGUGCUUUUGACUACAACUAACAACCAUAUAUAUGUUCUGGAUGCAUAUGGAGGGGAGAAGGUCAGUUAGCGCUAUAAUUGCAGAAUUUUGCUUCAGACAUCGAGCUGUAAAGUGCACAGUUUCCUAUAUCUUGUCAUUAACAACAAUAUAUAUUAACUCAUCUUUGUCUGUUAUUUUGUAGAAGUGUGGCUUCAGCUUGGAGCCAUCUCGCAACAUUGCAACUGAAGCUGCUUUCACUCCAGAUGGUCAAUAUGUAAUUUCAGGUAAUGUUUGGUUUUUUCGUGCAUCUUCCUUAGGAUAUUCUGCUGCAUACUACCUCUGAACUUACCCAACAUGUUGACCUGUAAUUAAGCCUUAGCAUGUAAUAUCAUCUCUAGUCUCACCCUUUUCUCCCUUUUGCUUUUACUUUGGGAAGAGAGCUUAUAAGAUUCAUCAAUAUAUUUUUCACCUUCAACUUGUGUGUAGCUUUUUUAUCAGCAUUAGAGAGGCAUUUAUAGUUAUAGUGUUAUACUGCUUUCACGCCAAGUAAAAAGUUAAAAUAUCAUAGCGAUGAUAAUACAUCUGAUAUGGUGGUUUGCUUCCCAUUCUCAAUUCUGGAGCACUAUUGCUGAAAGUGAAACUUGGAAAUAUCAAAUUUGCUAGAAUGCUUUAGAAAAAGCACUGACCAGGUUGCGUGGCAAAAGCUGUUGCUGAAAACAACAUAUGCUUUGAUGUUGCAGGAUCUGGUGAUGGUACCUUGCAUGCUUGGAACAUCAAUACAGUACAGGAGGUAGGUACCACUUUCUUAAACUUUGAUUACAGCGUGUGUUUUGUUGGCUUAGUUUUUUUUCCUGUUGCAGAUUGCCUGUUGGAACAGUCAUAUUGGUCCUAUCACUGCUUUGAAAUGGGCCCCUCGUCGAGCUAUGUUCGCAACUGCAUCAACCGCACUAACUUUCUGGAUUCCCAACGAAUCCAGUUCGAGUUAGGUCCCUGAAAAGGAAGAUGGAACGUGGAAUACACUAACUUAACAAAAGACUUGUAUCAUGUUCUUUCCUUGACAGGACAGGUACUAUGUAUGAAGUAUCACUUGCUUUAUUACCAUAUAUGUGGAAACAGUGAUGUUGGUUCCCUGUAGAAUGUAUUGAAGUGCUCCCUUUAUUUUUUAAGUAUAUAAUAUUGCACACUUGCUCAUUAUUUUCUCUUGUGGUUCUGUCAUCGUACAUAAAGUCGCCCUGAAUUCUUCCCUGUGCUAUCCUAGUGCAUUUGUUUUGGAGAAUCGGGAACUUGUUCCAUAUUCUUUUGUUGCUGGAACAGGGUAGACUUUUGCUUAGAAUAUGAUAAGCUGGCCUUCUUAUAUCGCAAAAGCUCUCAGAUUCCUGAUAUUCUUUAUCACCCCAAGAUGAUGAGGGCAUAACGUUCUCUUCAAUUUGUGUAGAUUAUCAUUAUGUGGGAACCUGAUCCUUCUUGUCGCCUUGUUAUUCUUAGAAAAGCCGACGAAUUAACCACUGCUAGCUUUAUUCUUAAAAAAGCCAAUGAUUUAAACCACUGCUGACUUUUAAACAGUGUUGACAUACUUUUUUUAAUAGUUUGGGUUGCUUACCACAUGUGUCACAUGGUUGCUGACUGUAAAACUUUUGAAAGAUAUCAGAACAAUUACAAACAGCAUUCUUGCAGAAGUUUUCAGUAUCCUGGAGGAGGUUCUCUUGGUUGGAUAUUCAAUCAUGUGGGGUAAUCCCAAGCGUUCAUUUACAUGAAAAACUACGCAGAUUCAUCUUACAUCCACCUCAUUUCAUGUCUAUUUUAGCACUGAUGAUUUUCCUUAGCAGUAAGUUGAAGAACUACCAUGGGAUUACACCUGCUAACUUCUCUAAUGCAACAAUAUAAGAAAAGACCAAACGAAAGGGCAGGGUGCAAAUUACAGAACCAUCAGUCGUCUACACCAAAGCGGUCCAUCAAACCCGAAAUAGCACCUUGCAUCAUUAUUACUGGGAGCAGCAAGGCACAACAUACAACAUGAAGCACUAAACCAUAAAAUCAACACCGCUAGUCAUCUAUCAAACAUGCAACAAGGAACAGAUUUCCUGCCCAAGAGACACCCCCUAC